AUUGAACGCUGGCGGUAUGCCUAACACAUGCAAGUCGAACGAGGUAGCAAUACCUAGUGGCGGACGGGUGAGGAAUACGUAGGGAUCUGCCCUUAAGUGGGGAUAACCCGGGGAAACCCGGAUUAAUACCGCAUGAUCUCGCAAGAGCAAAGAGGGGGACCGCAAGGCCUCUCGCUUUUGGAGGGACCUACGUCGGAUUAGCUAGUUGGUGAGGUAAUGGCUCACCAAGGCGACGAUCCGUAACUGGUCUGAGAGGAUGAUCAGUCACACCGGAACUGAGACACGGUCCGGACUCCUACGGGAGGCAGCAGUGGGGAAUAUUGGACAAUGGGCGAAAGCCUGAUCCAGCAAUACCGCGUGUGUGAAGAAGGCCUUCGGGUUG
rnacentral:rRNA from 1 species